GACGGAAUAGACAAGAGAAAGAGGGAAAGAUUGUGCAUAAUUGGGAAGGAAUAAAGAGGAAGUAAAAGAGAAGAGUUGAGAAAGUAGUAGGAAAAUUCAUAGAUAGAGAUAGAUAGAUGAAAAGAGAGUGUAAUUUUUAUAUUUAUGGUGAAUGGAAAGAAAGAUAUGAUUCAUCACUCAGUUAUUCCAAUUCUCCCUUUUAGUCAUUAAUAAUCAUAGUGUUUAUUAUACCAUUCCUUUCACUUUGUUAAAAGCGUAAAGAUGAUGUGUAAAAUGCCUAGCUAGCCUACAUUUUCUAUGGUUUCUUCCUCACACUAUCUUUAUCAUCAC
rnacentral:lncRNA from 1 species